rnacentral:misc_RNA from 1 species
AGAGAAAGUCUCUCCAUUUCUAGCCAUCACAAUAUCAAAAUUACCACAAUAUUAGAAAAAAAUUGAUUGGGUGGAUGAGUCGAAUUAAGUUGUAAAACUUUUCCUAUCGCUACUGAUAAGUUGGCCCAAGCCAAUAACAAAAAAGGCCGAAGGCCUAAAAAAACACGGUAACCCUAUCUCUGACUUGACCCAUUGAGAAAGUCAAGCAAGACGCCAAGACCCGCUCCUGAAGCACCAACCCUAACUACGACAACCAAGCGAGGAAGCAUGGAGGAGUUGUCCAACCACCAAUACCCAACAUAGCAAUUCCACACACAAUGCCACCCCCGAAAAUGCACAACCCAUUAGAACCCAUUGCAGCAACAAACCAAACCCAAAAAAUCAUGGUGAAGAACUAGACAUUUAACUUAGCAGAAUCCAUGGAUAUGAGGUAGAGCUUUUUCGCACCUCUAGCCUUUGAAAGAUUCAAUGCUCAUAAAAGAAGCAUUAGUAACAUCUCCAAAAAAUGCCUUCGCUGGUUAAAAGGAUAAACCCGUCGUUCGAAGCAAUCUUGGCUUUGAGUCGGAAAAGAAAGGGCAUCUAUGACAUAGCUGCUCUUGUUGGACCUUUU